ensembl:lncRNA
AGUUGUAGGGUACAUGUGCAUAACGCAGGUUUGUUACAUAUGUAUACUUGUGCCAUGUUGGUGUGCUGCACCCAUCAACUCAUCGUUUACAUCAGGUAUAACUCCCAAUACAAUCCCUCCCUCCUCCCAUGAUAGGCCCCGGUGUGAUGUUCCCUUCCGAGUCCAUGUGAUCUCAUUGUUCAGUUCCCACCUAUGAGUGAGAACAUGCGGUGUUUGGUUUUCUGUUCUUGUGAUAGUUUGCUAAGAAUGAUGGUUUCCAGCUGCAUCCAUGUCCCUACAAAGGAUGCAAACUCAUCCUUUUUAUGGCUGCAUAGUAUUCCAUGGUGUAUAUGUGCCACAUUUUCUUAAUCCAAUCUGUCACUGAUGGACAUUUGGGUUGAUUCCAAGUCUUGCUAUUGAAGAGUGCUGCAAUAAACAUACGUGCAUGUGUCUUUAUAGCAGCAUGAUUUAUAAUCCUUUGGGUAUAUACCCAGUAAUGGGAUGGCUGGGUCAUAUGGUACAUCUAGUUCUAGAUCCUUGAGGAAUCGCCAUACUGUUUUCCAUAAUGGUUGAACUAGUUUACAAUCCCACCAACAGUGUAAAGUGUUCUUAUUUCUCCACAUCCUCUCCAGCACCUGUUGUCUCCUGACUUUUUAAUGAUCGCCAUUCUAACUGGUGUGAGAUGGUAUCUCAUUGUGGUUUUGAUUUGCAUUUCUCUGAUGGCCAGUGAUGAUGAGCAUUUUCAUGUGUCUGUUGGCUGUAUGAAUGUCUUCUUUGAGAAAUGUCUGUUCAUAUCCUUUGCCCACUUUUGAUGGGGUUGUUUGUUUUUUUCUUGUAAAUUUGUUUGAGUUCCUUGUAGGUUCUGGAUAUUAGCCCUUUGUCAGAUGAGUAGAUUGCAAAAAUUUUCUCCCAUUCUGUAGGUUGCCUGUUCACUCUGGUGGUAGUUUCUUUUGCUGUGCAGAAGCUCUUUAAUUUAAUGAGAUCCCAUUUGUCAAUUUGGCUUUGCUGCCGUUGCUUUGGUGUUUUAGACAUGAAGUCUUUGCCCAUGCCUAUGUCCUGAAUGGUACUACCUAGGUUUUCCUCUAGGAUUUUAUGGUAUUAGGUCUAACAUUUAAGUCUCUAAUCCAUCUUGAAUUAAUUUUGUAUAAGGAGUAAGGAAAGGAUCCAGUUUCAGCUUUCUACUUAUGGCUAGCCAAUUUCCAGCACCAUUUAUUAAAUAGGGAAUCCUUUCCCAUUUCUUGUUUCUCUCAGGUUUGUCAAAGAUCAGAUGGCUGUAGAUGUGUGGUAUUAUUUCUGAGGGCUCUGUUCUGUUCCAUUGGUCUAUAUCUCUGUUUUGGUACCAGUACCAUGCUGUUUUGGUUACUGUAGCCUUGUAGUAUAGUUUGAAGUCAGGUAGCGUGAUGCCUCCAGCUUGUUCUUUUGACUUAGGAUUGUCUUGGAGAUGCGGGCUCUUUUGGUUCCAUAUGAACUUUAAAGCAGUUUUUCCAAUUCUGUGAAGAAACUCAUUGGUAGCUUGAUGGGGAUGGCAUUGAAUCUAUAAAUUACCUUGGGCAGUAUGGCCAUUUUCACGAUAUUGAUUCUUCCUAUCCAUGAGCAUGGUAUGUUCUUCCAUUUGUUUGUGUCCUCUUUGAUUUCACUGAGCAGUGGUUUGUAGUUCUCCUUGAAGAGGUCCUUUACAUCCCUUGUAAGUUGGAUUCCUAGGUAUUUGAUUCUCUUUGAAGCAAUUGUGAAUGGAAGUUCAUUCCUGAUUUGGCUCUCUGUUUGUCUGUUACUGGUGUAUAAGAAUGCUUGUGAUUUUUGCACAUUAAUUUUGUAUCCUGAGACUUUGCUGAAGUUGCUUAUCAGCUUAAGGAGAUUUUGGGCUGAGACAAUGGGGUUUUCUAAAUAUACAAUCAUGUCAUCUGCAAACAGGGACAGUUUGACUUCUUCUUUCCUAACUGAAUACCCUUGAUUUCUUUCUCUUGCCUAAUUGCCCUAGCCAGAACUUCCAACACUAUGUUGAAUAGGAGUGGUGAGGCAUCCUGUCUUGUGCCAGUUUUCAAAGGAAUUUUUCCAGUUUUGCCCAUUCAGUAUGAUAUUGGCUGUGGGUUUGUCAUAAAUAGCUGUUAUUAUUUUGAGGUACGUUCCAUCAAUACCGAAUUUAUUGAGCGUUUUUAGCAUGAAGGGCUGUUGAAUUUUGUCAAAGCCUUUUCUGCAUCAAUUGAGAUAAUCAUGUGGUUCUUGUCUUUGGUUCUGUUUAUAUGCUGGAUUAUGUUUAUUGAUUUGCAAAUGUUGAACCAGCCUUGCAUCCCAGGGAUGAAGCCCACUUGAUCAUGGUGGAUAAGCUUUUGAUGUGUUGCUGAAUCCGGUUUGCCAGUAUUUUAUUGAGGAUUUUUGCAUCGAUGUUCAUCAGGGAUAUUGGUCUAAAAUUCUCUUUUAGUUGUGUCUCUGCCAGGCUUUGGUAUCAGGAUGAUAUUGGCCUCAUAAAAUGAGUUAGGAGGAUUCCUCUUUUCUAUUGAUUGGAAUAGUUUCAGAAGGAAUGGUACCAACUCCUCCUUGUACCUCUGGUAGAAUUCAGCUGUGAAUCCAUCUGGUCCUGGACUUUUGGUUGGUAGGCUAUUAAUUAUUGCCUCAAUUUCAGAGCCUGCUAUUGGUCUAUUCAGGGAUUCAACUUCUUCCUGGUUUAGUCUUGGAAGAGUGUAAGUGUCCAGGAAAUUAUCCAUUUCUUCUAGAUUUUCCAGUUUAUUUAUGAGGUGUUUAUAGUAUUCUCUGAUGGUAGUUUGUAUUUCUGUGGGGUCGGUGGUGAUAUCCCUUUAUCAUUUUUAAUUGCUCAUUUGAUUCUCUCUUUUCUUCUUUAUUAGUCUUGCUAGUGGUCUGUCAAUUUUGUUGAUCUUUUCAAAACCAACUCCUGGAUUCAUUGAUUUUUUGGAGAGUUUUUGUGUCUCUAUCUCCUUCAGUUCUGCUCUGAUCUUAGUUAUUUCUAGCCUUCUGCUAGCUUUCGAAUGUGUUUGCUCUUGCUCCUCUAGUUCUUUUAAUUGUGAUGUUAGAGUGUCAAUUUUAGAUCUUUCCUGCUUUCUCUUGUGGGCAUUUAGUGCUAUAAAUUUCCUCUACACACUGCUUUAAAUGUGUCCCAGAGAUUCUGGUAUGUUGUAUCUUUGUUCUCAUUGGUUUCAAAGAACAUCUUUAUUUCUGCCUUCAUUUCAUAUGUACCCAGUAGUCAUUCAGGAGCAGGUUGUUCAGUUUCCAUGUAGUUGAGCGGUUUGGAUUGAGUUUCUUAGUCCUGAGUUCUAGUUUGAUUGCACUGUGGUCUGAGAGACAGUUUGUUAUAAUUUCUGUUCUUGUACAUUUGCUGAGGAGUGCUUUACUUCCAAUUACGUGGUCGAUUUUGGAGUAAGUACGAUGUGGUGCUGAGAAGAAUGUAUAUUCUGUUGAUUUGGGGUGGAGAGUUCUAUAGAUGUUUAUUAGGUCUGCUUGCUGCAGAGAUGAGUUCAAUUCCUGGAUAUCCUUGUUAACUUUCUGUCUCGUUGAUCUGUCUAAUGUUGACAGUGGGUGUUGAAGUCUCCCAUUAUUAUUGUAUGGGAGUCUAAGUCUCUUUGUAAGUCUCUAAGGACUUGCUUUAUGAAUCUGGGUGCUCCUGUAUUGGGUGCAUAUAUAUUUAGGAUAGUUAGCUCUUCCUGUUGAAUUGAUCCCUUUACCAUUAUGUAAUGGCCUUCUUUGUCUCUUUGAUCUUUGAUGGUUUAAAGUCUGUUUUAUCAGAGACUAGUAUUGCAACCCCUUUUGUUCUCCAUUUGCUUGGUAAAUCUUCCUCCAUCCCUUUAUUUUGAGCCUAUGUAUGUCUCU